rnacentral:rRNA from 1 species
GAUGAACGCUGGCGGCGUGCCUAAUACAUGCAAGUCGAGCGAAUGGAUUAAGAGCUUGCUCUUAUGAAGUUAGCGGCGGACGGGUGAGUAACACGUGGGUAACCUGCCCAUAAGACUGGGAUAACUCCGGGAAACCGGGGCUAAUACCGGAUAACAUUUUGAACCGCAUGGUUCGAAAUUGAAAGGCGGCUUCGGCUGUCACUUAUGGAUGGACUUGCGUCGCAUUAGCUAGGUGGUGAGGUAACGGCUCACCAAGGCAACGAUGCGUAGCCGACCUGAGAGGGUGAUCGGCCACACUGGGACUGAGACACGGCCCAGACUCCUACGGGAGGCAGCAGUAGGGAAUCUUCCGCAAUGGACGAAAGUCUGACGGAGCAACGCCGCGUGAGUGAUGAAGGCUUUCGGGUCGUAAAACUCUGUUGUUAGGGAAGAACAAGUGCUAGUUGAAUAAGCUGGCACCUUGACGGUACCUAACCAGAAAGCCACGGCUAACUACGUGCCAGCCGCCGCGGUAA